rnacentral:rRNA from 1 species
CGGUUAUACGAGAGGCCCCAGUUGAUAGUGCCACGGCGUAAAGGGUGGUUAAGGAAAAUAACUAAAUAAAGCUGAUCAGCCCCUCGGCCGUCAUACGCUUCUAGGUGCUAGAAAACCAAAGUACGAAAGUAGCUUUAAUAACCCCCACCUGAACCCACGAAAGCUGAGAAACAAACUGGGAUUAGAUACCCCACUAUGCUCAACUGUAAACCCAGACAUUCAGAUACAGCCACAUGUCCGCCAGGGUACUACAAGCAUUAGCUUAAAACCCAAAGGACUUGACGGUGCCUCAGACCCCCCUAGAGGAGCCUGUUCUAGAACCGAUAAUCCCCGUUAAACCUCACCACCUCUGGCCAUCCCAGCCUAUAUACCGCCGUCGCCAGCUUACCCUGUGAAGGAAAUAUAGUAAGCAAAAUGGACAAAACCCAGAACGUCAGGUCGAGGUGUAGCGCACGAGGUGGGAAGAAAUGGGCUACAUUUUCUAAACCAGAAUACUACGGACGCGCAACAUGAAAUAGUGCCUGAAGGAGGAUUUAGUAGUAAAAAGGAAAGAGAGUGUCCUUUUGAACCCGGCUCUGAGACGCGUACACACCGCCCGUCACUCUCCCCUGUCAAAAUGCAACAAAAAUAUUUAAUCCAAGAGCACUGACAAGGGGAGGCAAGUCGUAACAUGGUAAGUGUACCGGAAGGUGCACUUGG